UACGUAGGGUGCAAGCGUUGUCCGGAAUUACUGGGCGUAAAGCGCGCGUAGGUGGUUUGUUAAGUUGAAUGUGAAAUCCCCGGGCUCAACCUGGGAACUGCAUGCAAAACUGGCAAGCUAGAGUAUGGUAGAGGGUGGUGGAAUUUCCUGUGUAGCGGUGAAAUGCGUAGAUAUAGGAAGGAACACCAGUGGCGAAGGCGACCACCUGGACUGAUACUGACACUGAGGUGCGAAAGCGUGGGGAGCAAACAGG
rnacentral:rRNA from 1 species